GAGCAGACAGUUAUCCCUUUUUAGCCUGUUGUGGUUUUAGAGGGAGUCAGUCUGCUAAAUUAAAUGGGGGAGGCUAUGCUGUUGCCCAGCCCAGCUGGUUCGGGUGCUGGCUGCAGGUCUCCCCCACAACA
ensembl:snoRNA small nucleolar RNA, H/ACA box 56